GUCCAGCCACAACAGCGCUGCAGCGGCGCACUUGUGCUGACUUAAUCGGCGGCGUAUUAGAAACACGGUGCCCUUACCUUUUGUUGAUAAUCCAUCAUGAGGCUGUGUGUGGGUGCCACUCCUGCAGAAGACGCUCUCUCUCUCCUCUCGGUGCUUUCCCAACACAAAUUCCCCCACACUUUGCUCAAGUGAUGUCCUGAAAGUAAUCCCCGGCAUCCAGGAGUGUGAUGAUCCCUCAUUUUCACGCACACAGAAACCAUUUUCAGCUACAUUAACAUGGCGCACACAGAGAGGAGGCUGCGCUCUGCCCUCAUUUUGGAUAAAGAAAAUUACGCGCGUAAACAGUCCCCCAAACGUCCCCAAAAAAAAAACAACAGUGCACAUACAAAGAUCCAAGAAAAAGGUUGUGUUACUAGUGUUAAGUGAAUGUGCGGGGGGAAAAAACAGCAGCUGCAAUAUAACCUCAUGGGAAAUAAGUUCCCAUUCCUGCUGUCCACAUGACCGCCAGCAACCAAUCCCAGAGCCGCGCGAGUCGUAAACUUCCACAGCAAAGUUGUAAAUUCUCAUAAACAGCCGCCGUUUUUUGUGCUUUAGACGCGCUUUCUCAUCGCCAUCUUUAUUUUAUAUCCGAGGCCUGAGAUGUGUAAAUGUGAAGCAGGAUUCUUAAGAAGAAGAGAGGGAAGAAAAGGGAAAUGUGAGGAUGUUGGAAGUGUGAGGGUGACAUUGUGCGUCAUGCGCACCUGGUUCUGUUCCUGCACUGAAGCUUUGUGUGACAUAAUUCACCCUCAGAGCUCUCCUCCCGUCCCGGAGAUCUACUUAAUCCAGGAGCGGAUUAAAUGCAGACACCCCCACUGCCCCCUCGCUCCUGCUUUAUGGUCACUGGCCUUUUCCGUACUGGGGGGCUCUGCGGGAGGAGUUUCUUACGAUGUGAGAGAAGCCAGGCCUCCGGACCAGGGGGGCACGGGUUGAGACGACAAGCAGGCUCUGCAGGGCAGCGGGGUCGUGGGACGCGAGGGAGCUGCAGCGGAGGCCUCCUCUGGGGAUGUUGUUUAUGAGCGGGAUGCCGGGACGGGACCUGGCGUCGGUGGUGCAGGAGCUGCUCAUGGCGUCCUGCCUCACAGAGAGAGGCCCGCCCGCCGCUGAGGAGGAGACAGACGCAGGAGUUUAAAAAGACAAUCAGGCUGUGAAGUCGUUUAGUUUGAAAACUUAACAGACCAUGUUGUUGUCUGACCUGAGAAUAAAGAGUUAAUUAAGUUG